CUUAUUUCACAUGCCACCUUGUUCUUGAAGGCAUCAGUGCCCAGAAGGCUGGGGAUGGUUCUCAGCCAGAAGGAAGGAAAGAGAUGCUGGUGGGAAGGAGCCCAAGACAUUCCUCUGAAAAGGAGGCCAAACCAGAAGAAUAUUUCAGAAAAUGGAUAUAAUAGAGCCUUGAACCACUCCAGGUGCAGUCCUGUACAGCUGUGGAAAGCUUUGUACACUUUCUAACAACUUCUCCAGGAAAAAGUACAACUGCUUCUACUUUGGUAACAUUUGUCUCUCUGUUAAGGAGACUCAAUGGCCAUUUGAUGACACAUGAUUCACUGGUGAACUUUACAGAAAUAGUCUAAAAGGGAAAAGUUGGCCUUUCAGUCAAUCAGCAACCAAUGAAUUAGUUGGAGUGAGAUGGUUCAGAGAUUUAGUCACUGCUGGGUUCAACCUGGUUUCCAGUGAUGGAUGGGGGUGGAGAUCCAGGCAGUGAGGAAAAAGGAAAAUGUAAGAUGAGAAAGAUGUAACUAUAUAGGUCAGUGGGGGCAGGACAACUGUAGCAUCUUGUUUCCUUGAUUAACUACUACUUAAAUUCAUAAUUUAACCCCCAGGAGGGGGUCCCAGUAGAAGGUCCUUGCCCACUGAAACAGGACCCUUUCUGAACCAUGAAAGGAGAUUCUUCCAAUAGGAAUGUGAUGGUAUAUUUUGGAGAUGAUCAAAGACGGAGAUAGACUGUACUAUGAAAAUAAUAAAUGUCAAUGUUGUUUAGCACCCAUUACCUCACAAUUUAUGAGUCAAUGUUUGUGCAGACUUCUGAGUUCAUAAGGUAAGAGUAAAUAGAAAUAAUUACCAUUAAAUACCAAGUUUUUCAGUCCUCACCCUAAAGGCUGUAUUUACAGAAGCAGUCUUAAACACCUCUCUGAAGAGCCAUUAGCCAAACUGAUGAAAGAGGAAGAUCCUUUCUGAGAGCACUAUAAUUCAGCAAUCACAGCAACAUCUUGGUGUUGGAAAGAACAUAGAGCAGCACUGGAUUAAGACAUACUGAACCACAAGUUUAUAGUUCCUUCUUUCCCAUCAAAGAUACGAAGAAUUGAUCUUUUUAAAGCCACAGCUACUUUGUUGAUAAAAAUGGGGAUAGUAAUAGCAGUUUUUCAAGGUUGGUAUGAAGACUAAGAAGAACAUGUGUAAAAUUCCCAUCAAAAUGCUAGCAUUGGGGCGCCUGGGUGGCUCAGUCGGUUAAGAGUCGGACUUCAGCUCAGGUCACGAUCUCACAGUUCGUGGGUUCGAGCCCCGCGUCAGGCUCUGUGCUGACAGCUCAGAGCCUAGAGCCUGUUUCAGAUUCUGUGUCUCCCUCUCUCUCUGCCCCUUCCCUGUUUACACUCUGUCUCUGUCUCAAAAAUAAAUAAACAUUAAAAAAAUUUUUUUAAAUGCUAGCAUAUAUUAAAGUUAAAGUGAAUCGUAGCUAUUACAAUGGUGGUCAGAGCUAACCGAUAAAAAGCCUUAUAUGCUAACUACUUUGCGUACUUUCUUCUACCUUUUCUUUUAAAUCCAUUGACUCUAUGCUAGUAUUUAACUUUUUGCCUCAUACUUAUUUUUACCUCUCUGACCAUCUGAAGAUUAAUUGUGCCCCACUGUCUGCUUGACUUUUUCAUCCCAGCUUUACUCCUCAGUGUUCUAUACUAUAUCUCCCCUUGACUCCAUGAUCUGCAUCUAAUGGGCAAGUUCCAUCCAGUCCCUACAUCUACUUUAGAAGUGGGUAGUCGGGGAAUAUCUGUGAAGACUUUAUGGAUGAACUAGGAUAUGAGUUACACCUUGAGAACAGGCAAAAUUGAAACUGAAGAGGACUGUAUGUUUUCUUUCCAAUAUUCCAUAUAGACCACCAAGUUAUGUUUUGCAUUUGCCAUUAUAAUUGCAUCUUUUCUUACUUCAGCAUUUUGGUAUAGCAUUUCAGUAUUCCAAGAAUGAUGACAUCAUUGUCAGGGACAAAAGAGUUGGCUUAAUUUUUGUCGAUAACAAACUGGGUUGAUUAUUUCCUGAUGAUACGAUAGUACCUUAAUUCAGAGAUUCCUGCGCUGGUGGGAUCAUGAGUCCAGUUGUCUUCAAAUUGUGAUUUGUGAAGGCCUGGAGUACUAAAAAGAUAUUACAGGGCUCUUCCUGGGGAAUCUAGAAGGGGAGAGCAAAUCAAGAUGCAGGCUGCUUGGCUCCAAGCCCAGCAUUCCACUUUUAUUGCUCCAUAUCGGAUUCUAGAUAAGAUUUUAUUUAGAAAAUAAAAAAUAAUUACACAACUUGAAAAAGAAAAACUUUGGAGACUCUCUAUUUCAUAUAUGAGGAAGCACAAUCUAGUCUGUUAGCAUGCCAAUAUUAUACUAUUUAUUUUUAAACCAUUUAUGCAUUUGGCUCAGCAAAUACUUAUUGAACAUCUACUCAGUGUGUGGUGUGCUGCUCAGGUCUGAGGACAAUGCAAAAAACAAAACAAAACAAAACAAAUAGUCCUGCCCUUGAAGAAGAAAUAGCCCAGCGUAGCAGUGAUUGCUGGCUGUCUACUCAAAAUCCCUCCUUCCCUUCUUCCUUACCAUGUAAAGGCAAGCAUCGAUGUGCCCAAUGAAAAAGUAACACUUCCCAGUCACCCCUGUAGCUAAGGGUAGACAAUAAAAAGUAAGGUAAGGUAUUGGGUGAGACUUCCAGGAAAGCGCUAUAGAAGGAAACUAAACAGAGUAAAUCCAUCUUUUAUCCAUUGCUUUCUCUUCCUUCCUACUGUCUGAUAGGGAGACAUAAUUGCUGGAGUUCUCCUGGACAUGCGGCAACCUAGGGAUGGAAACCAUGUGUUGUGGAAGUUUAAAAAAAUAGAAGGGUCCUAGAAACAUGAUGACUUUGAAGUUGACACACCAGCACAGGACUGCCCAUUUAUUGAUUUCCUUUGUAUAAAUAAAAAUAAGCCUCCAACUUGUUUAAGUCACUGUUAUUAUUUUUUAAUAUUAAACAAAACCUAAUCCUAAUGGACAAGAAGACAAGUCAAGAGGCAAAUUCAGAAGGAUGAUGAAUUAUGAUAGGGAUAGAAUUUUUUAGAGAACCAUGAAGUUUAAGUGUAACCCAAGCACUGGGGUUUGGGAAAUGUUUCUUAGAGAAGUGAUAUCUAAACGGAAUCCUGUAAACUGAGUUGAAGUCAGCCAAACAAAGAGUAUGGGAAACAGGGAUAUGGAGCAGUGAGUGCAAAAACCUGGGGGGAUGGGGAGUAGGGAGAGGAUCCAAUGCCUUCUGGGAAUUUAAAGUAUUUCAGUAAAGAUAGUAGAAAGAGGGCAUGGGUGGGGGAGUGGUAAGGCAUGAGAAGGGGUCAUAAAGUGUCUUGCCUGACUAAAAAGGGAGGCCACUAAAGGAUUUUAAGCAGGGAGUAAUAUGAUAAUAUUUGGAUUUUAGGCAUAUCAUUCUAAAUUGAAGUGAUGGAAAACCAAUUAGGAGGCUGUUUUAUUAAUACUGUCAAAUUAGAGCCAAAAAAAAAGGUUAAGAAAAGGGAAAUUUAAAGAAUGUGGUUAUUGAUCAAAUUGGAUGAAGCAGUUGAAUCCAUAAGAAAGAAGGAAGAAUCAAGGUUAAUGUCUGGGUUCCUAGGUUGGUAAUUUCAUUCACUGAUAUAAGGAAUCCAGGAAGAGGAGCAGGCUUGCUCUCUUCAAAGGUCACCAAAAGAUGACCUAGAUCUGCACAUGAACACUUGUACAUGCCAUUCAUAAAAGGCCCUAUAUCACUCAAAAUACUAUCAGGAAGCAAAAUCCAAUUCAGAAGAUUGAAGAAACUUUCAUCCACUUCCUCAUUUUUACUAGACCCACUGCCUGGAUUCCUUUGUGCACUGAGUAUGUUGUGGGCCAAGUCUAAUUUCUCAUGAAUGUUGUGUUCUGAUCAUAACUCCUGCCAGCAAUUUGGAGCAGUGUUGUUCAGAUUAACCUGGACAACAAUUACGUGCUCUGUGCACAUGUUUAACUAAACCAGUGAUCAGAAAUGACACUUUGCAGCAAAACGGCAAAGUUGGAAACACGUGGGUAAAUUUGCAAACUGGAGAAAAUGGGAUAUACCAGAAACUUAGAAUGGAUUUGUAGGAGAUUUUCAAACUACCUGCAUGGUAAGUUUCUCUCUAACCUUCCACUCAAAAAAAAAAAAAAAAUUGCAUUGCAGCUUGCUCUUACCCUGUAUUUUUGGGUGUUUUUGUAAUAUACAAGUUUUCAUUUUUUCCCCUCUAAUUUUGGUAGUGUAUGUAAGGCAAAGAUCUUCCCCCUGUAGGUGAGAGAUUCAGGCUAACUCGAUCCCUUCUAAUCAAACAACAAGGUUAUUUUGCCUAGAAAUCUUUUAAAAUUCUCCCUGGGAACCAACACAGCAUGAUAUGGGUUGAAUUUCCUACGGACUUGGCUCUCUCCAGGUACUUUUGAUAAUCCCCAUACAAAGCAUUGUGCUGCUCCAGAAUGAUAUUAGCCAGGCACAUGAAAGCCACCAGCCACUGUAACCCAGGCAAAAACAAGCCAAAAAUUGGUAGUCAGACUGUUGCUACAAUUCAGAUUCAUGGCACUUAAUUCAACAUGCAUUUAUCAAAAAAAUGUAUGAUAUUCAAGACACUGAACAUGACCUCAAGGAGUUUCACACAUUGAGAUAAAGUAGAAACUCACAGGAACUUAGAUGCCAUGUUUUUUUAGUUUUUGCUUGUAGGGGGAAGAAGCUGGGAAAAGAUAUUUGGUUAUACUUAAUUUUGGCUUUGAGAGAUGGGACCUAGGUCUUCCUAGCCUUGAAAAGAAAUAUA